rnacentral:lncRNA from 1 species
CAACCAUAAUACAUAUAGACAACCAUAACAUAUUAACAUAUACCACUCAAUCCAAGUCUGUCUCUAAAUUUUUACAAACAACUAUCAAAUAUUAUAAGCACUGAUUAAGAAAAAAGAGAGAAAACAUGACAAAAAAUUGGAGAGGAUCAAAAUCCCUGCACAACACUCACAUAAAAGGAAAAUAGGAAUUAGUUUUUAUUGUCUUAUUAUUUUUUUACAUUUACAAAGCUCUAUGAACAUUUAACUACUACUACAUGCAUACAUAUAUUUUCAAAAAUCACUACUAUACUACUGGGCAAAAUAUAAAAGUACAAUAUAUAUAAAACAUUAGCUAUAAUAUAAUUUAACCUUCACCUUUAAUUUGGACCCCAGCAACUCAAGUACAUCACAGUUCUAAGAGAUUCCUCAGCUUUUUUAAACCUAUCAACAUUGUUGUUGUUAGCAUCACGGUUGUUUGAUUUGGAAGGACAUAUUAUUGUUGAGGAGCCUUUGUGAGAACUAAUGAAGUUUUUUCUUUGUGAUCCAUUUUUGAUUCCUUCUUCCAUGUUUGAAACCACUUGUAGAUUUUU